UUUAUCGGAGAGUUUGAUCCUGGCUCAGGACGAACGCUGGCGGCGUGCCUAAUACAUGCAAGUCGAGCGGACUUGAUAGGAGCUUGCUUCUAUUCAAGUUAGCGGCGGACGGGUGAGUAACACGUGGGUAAC
rnacentral:rRNA from 1 species